rnacentral:tRNA from 1 species
UGUCCGAUGGUGUAAUGGUAACACUCCAGAUUUUGAUUCUGUCAUUCAAGGUUCGAGUCCUUGUCGGACAA